AUUGAACGCUAGCGGCAGGCCUAACACAUGCAAGUCGAGCGGUAGAGAGGUGCUUGCACCUCUUGAGAGCGGCGGACGGGUGAGUAAUGCCUAGGAAUCUGCCUGGUAGUGGGGGAUAACGUUCGGAAACGGACGCUAAUACCGCAUACGUCCUACGGGAGAAAGCAGGGGACCUUCGGGCCUUGCGCUAUCAGAUGAGCCUAGGUCGGAUUAGCUAGUUGGUGAGGUAAUGGCUCACCAAGGCGACGAUCCGUAACUGGUCUGAGAGGAUGAGACGUCACACUGGAACUGAGACACGGUCCAGACUCCUACGGGAGGCAGCAGUGGGGAAUAUUGGACAAUGGGCGAAAGCCUGAUCCAGCCAUGCCGCGUGUGUGAAGAAGGUCUUCGGAUUGUAAAGCACUUUAAGUUGGGAGGAAGGGUACUUACCUGAUACGUGAGUAUUUUGACGUUACCGACAGAAUAAGCACCGGCUAACUCUGUGCCAGCCGCCGCAGUAACAC
rnacentral:rRNA from 1 species